UACGAAGGGGGCUAGCGUUGCUCGGAAUCACUGGGCGUAAAGCGCACGUAGGCGGAUUGCUAAGUCAGGGGUGAAAUCCUGGAGCUCAACUCCAGAACUGCCCUUGAUACUGGGAGUCCUUGAGUCGGGAGAGGUGAGUGGAACUGCGAGUGUAGAGGUGAAAUUCGUAGAUAUUCGCAAGAACACCAGUGGCGAAGGCGGCUCACUGGCCCGAUACUGACGCUGAGGUGCGAAAGCGUGGGGAGCAAACAGGG
rnacentral:rRNA from 1 species